rnacentral:rRNA from 1 species
UACGGAGGGUGCGAGCGUUAAUCGGAAUUACUGGGCGUAAAGCGCACGUAGGCAGUCAGGCAAGUCGGGUGUGAAAGCCCUGGGCUCAACCUGGGAAUUGCAUUCGAAACUAUCUGACUCGAGUAUGGGAGAGGGAAGCGGAAUUUCCGGUGUAGCGGUGAAAUGCGUAGAUAUCGGAAGGAACACCAGUGGCGAAGGCGGCUUCCUGGACUAAUACUGACGCUGAGGUGCGAAAGCGUGGGGAGCAAACAGG